UACGGAGGGUGCGAGCGUUUAUCGGAAUUACUGGGCGUAAAGCGCACGUAGGCGGUUGAGUAAGUCUGCCGUGAAAGCCCUGGGCUUAACCGAGGAAUGGCGGUGGAGAUUGCUGAGCUAGAGUGUGAGAGAGGGGGGUGGAAUUCCCGGUGUAGCGGUGAAAUGCGUAGAGAUCGGGAGGAACACCAGUGGCGAAGGCGGCCCCCUGGUUCAACACUGACGCUGAGGUGCGAAAGCGUGGGGAGCAAACAGG
rnacentral:rRNA from 1 species